CAGCAGCCGCGGUAAAACGAAGGGGGCUAGCGUUGUUCGGAAUUACUGGGCGUAAAGGGCGCGUAGGCGGCCAUUCAAGUUAGAUGUGAAAGCCCUGAGCUUAACUUAGGAAUUGCAUUCGAUACUGGGAAGCUAGAGUAUGGGAGAGGAUGGUAGAAUUCCAGGUGUAGCGGUGAAAUGCGUAGAGAUCUGGAGGAAUACCGAUGGCGAAGGCAGCCAUCUGGCCUAAUACUGACGCUGAGGUACGAAAGCAUGGGGAGCAAACAGGAUUAGAUACCCCAGUAGUCCCUGUCUUUUAUAC
rnacentral:rRNA from 1 species